rnacentral:misc_RNA from 1 species
GAUGAAGAACGUAGCGAAAUGCGAUACGUAGUGUGAAUUGCAGAAUUCCGUGAACCAUCAAAUCUUUGAACGCAUAUUGCGCUCGAGGCUUCGGCCGAGAGCAUGUCUGCCUCAGCGUCGGUAUUACCCCUCGCUUCUCAACCCCGGGUUGAUGCCUGCCUGCCUUUGCAGUUGGCUAGAAGCGGAUCUGGCUUUCCCAAUUGCCUUUGGUAGUUGGGUCAGCUGAAGCACAGAGGCUUGAGCAAGGACCCUUAUUGGGCUUCAACUGGAUAGGUAGAACUGGUCUUAGGACCAACUACACGACGUUGUUGCUUGUGGUCUUUGUCUGGAGGCCAGCAGGAAACCUUUAUACCUUCGACCUGAGCUCAGGCAAGAUUACCCGCUGAACUUAAGCAUAUCAAUAAGCGGAGGA